rnacentral:rRNA from 1 species
CGAGCGGUAACAGAAAGUAGCUUGCUACUUUGCUGACGAGCGGCGGACGGGUGAGUAAUGCUUGGGAACAUGCCUUGAGGUGGGGGACAACAGUUGGAAACGACUGCUAAUACCGCAUAAUGUCUACGGACCAAAGGGGGCUUCGGCUCUCGCCUUUAGAUUGGCCCAAGUGGGAUUAGCUAGUUGGUGAGGUAAUGGCUCACCAAGGCGACGAUCCCUAGCUGGUUUGAGAGGAUGAUCAGCCACACUGGGACUGAGACACGGCCCAGACUCCUACGGGAGGCAGCAGUGGGGAAUAUUGCACAAUGGGCGCAAGCCUGAUGCAGCCAUGCCGCGUGUGUGAAGAAGGCCUUCGGGUUGUAAAGCACUUUCAGUCAGGAGGAAAGGUUGGUGGUUAAUACCCGUUAGCUGUGACGUUACUGACAGAAGAAGCACCGGCUAACUCCGUGCCAGCAGCCGCGGUAAUACGGAGGGUGCGAGCGUUAAUCGGAAUUACUGGGCGUAAAGCGUACGCAGGCGGUUUGUUAAGCGAGAUGUGAAAGCCCCGGGCUCAACCUGGGAACUGCAUUUCGAACUGGCAAACUAGAGUGUGAUAGAGGGUGGUAGAAUUUCAGGUGUAGCGGUGAAAUGCGUAGAGAUCUGAAGGAAUACCGAUGGCGAAGGCAGCCACCUGGGUCAACACUGACGCUCAUGUACGAAAGCGUGGGGAGCAAACGGGAUUAGAUACCCCGGUAGUCCACGCCGUAAACGAUGUCUACUAGAAGCUCGGAGCCUCGGUUCUGUUUUUCAAAGCUAACGCAUUAAGUAGACCGCCUGGGGGAGUACGGCCGCAAGGUUAAAACUCAAAUGAAUUGACGGGGGCCCGCACAAGCGGUGGAGCAUGUGGUUUAUUCGAUGCAACGCGAAGAACCUUACCUACACUUGACAUACAGAGAACUUACCAGAGAUGGUUUGGUGCCUUCGGGAACUCUGAUACAGGUGCUGCAUGGCUGUCGUCAGCUCGUGUUGUGAGAAUGUUGGGUUAAGUCCCGCAACGAGCGCAACCCCCUAUUCUUAGUUGCUAGCAGGUAAUGCUGAGAACUCUAAGGAAGACUGCCGGUGAUAACCCGGAGGACAGGUGGGGACGACUUAAGGUCUCAUGGCCCUUAACUGUAGGGCUAUCACACUGUCUACCAUCGCGCAUAACAAUGGCUGCGAAACUGUGCUAGGUAACCCAAUC